CGCUUUACCAAGGGGUGCUGCUCGCGCAAGCGACUAGCUGAGAUGCUGUUAAGCAAACCCUUUGCACCUGAUCCGGUUAAUACUGGCGUAGGGAUGGUAGCUAUCAUACUC
rnacentral:ncRNA from 1 species